UGGGGAAUAUUGCACAAUGGGCGCAAGCCUGAUGCAGCCAUGCCGCGUGUGUGAAGAAGGCCUUCGGGUUGUAAAGCACUUUCAGCGAGGAGGAAGGGUAGUGUGUUAAUAGCACAUUGCAUUGACGUUACUCGCAGAAGAAGCACCGGCUAACUCCGUGCCAGCAGCCGCGGUAAUACGGAGGGUGCAAGCGUUAAUCGGAAUUACUGGGCGUAAAGCGCACGCAGGCGGUUUGUUAAGUCAGAUGUGAAAUCCCCGCGCUUAACGUGGGAACUGCAUUUGAAACUGGCAAGCUAGAGUCUUGUAGAGGGGGGUAGAAUUCCAGGUGUAGCGGUGAAAUGCGUAGAGAUCUGGAGGAAUACCGGUGGCGAAGGCGGGCCCCUGGACAAAGACUGACGCUCAGGUGCGAAAGCGUGGGGAGCAAACA
rnacentral:rRNA from 1 species